UAUCACUCGAAGAAAUAUAGAUGCCAACAUUUAAUUGAUACUAGUCAUAUCCAAAACCAAAGCUGAGAGGCUUUGGCAGACAAUUCAGAACCACAUUAACCAAACACAGAAACAGAAAACAAGCACACAUUGAACACCCAAGGUUAACAAAUACCCUCAAUACUCUUCGCCCUCAUCACCAUCCUCUCCCUCGGCAGACUCUGCCCCAACUUCUUCAUAGUCCUUCUCCAGCGCAGCAAGAUCCUCACGGGCCUCAGAGAACUCACCCUCCUCCAUACCCUCACCAACAUACCAG
rnacentral:misc_RNA from 1 species